rnacentral:rRNA from 1 species
AUUUCAUGGUGUCCAUGAAUGCUUUUUCAAAAGGUUUGUGUAUAUUCGCUACUGAUUUGUACUCCCUAGUGACCGAUAGUGAAGCAGUACUGUGAAGGAAAGGUGAAAAGGACCCCGGGAGGGGAGUGAAAAAGAACCUGAAACCUUGUGCUUACAAACAGUCGAAGGUCUUCGGACUAACGGCGUACUUUUUGUAGAACGGUCCGGCGAGUUACUACUACUAGCGAGGUUAAAUACUAAUAAGGUAUGGAGCCGAAGGGAAACCAAGUCUUAAUAGGGCGAUAGAGUUAGUAUUAGUAGACCCGAAACCGGGUGACCUAUCCAUGUCCAGGUUGAAGUUACCGUAAAAGGUAAUGGAGGACCGAACACACAUCUGUUGAAAAAGGUGGUGAUGAGGUGUGGAUAGCGGAGAAAUUCCAAUCGAACUCGGAGAUAGCUGGUUCUCCUCGAAAUAGCUUUAGGGCUAGCCUUGAUAGAAGUCUAACGGAGGUAAAGCACUGAACUGACGCGGGUCCCCAAAAGGAUACCAACUCAUAUCAAACUAAGAAUGCCGUCAAGAUAUCAUCAGGAGUCAGACUACGUGAGAUAAGUCUCGUGGUCAAAAGGGAAAGAGCCCAGACCGACAGCUAAGGUCCCUAAGUACGUGUUAAGUGGAAAAGGAUGUGGGAUUUCAGAGACAACUAGGAUGUUGGCUUAGAAGCAGCCAUACAUUUAAAGAGUGCGUAAUAGCUCACUAGUCGAGAAAACCUGCGCCGAAAAUUAUCGGGGCUAAAACACGACACCGAAGCUACGGAUUGAUAGUCUUAGGACAUCAGUGGUAGAGGAGCAUUCUGUAAGGACGAAGCGUAAUUGAAAGAGAGCGUGGACGAAACAGAAGAGAGAAUGCCGGAAUGAGUAGCGAGAUAGAAGUAAGAAACUUCUAGGCCGAAUAUCUAAGGUUUCCUGAGUAAAGCUAAUCUUCUCAGGGUAAGUCGGGGCCUAAGGCAAGGACGAGAGUCGUAGUCGAUGGAUAACAGGUUGAAAUUCCUGUACUACAAGUAAUCAGAAAUGUAGGGACGCAGGAGGAUAGGCAAACCGGGGAAUGGAAAAACCCGGUCAAGCAUAAAGCUGUGAGCAGUAGGCAAAUCCGCUGCUUGUAAGUGAAAUGUGAUGAGGACUGAAAAAUAGUAAGGAAGUUGCCGAAUCCACACUGCCGAGAAAAGCUGCUAUAGUGUUACUUGUACCCGUACCGUAAACCGACACAGGUAGAUGAGGAGAAAAUCCACAGGCCGACGGGAGAAGUGUUGUUAAGGAACUCGGCAAAAUGACCCCGUAACUUCGGGAUAAGGGGAGCCACCGCGAGGUGGUCACAGAAAAGAGGCACAAGCAACUGUUUAGCAAAAACAUAGGUCUAUGCGAAACCGUAAGGUGAAGUAUAUGGGCUGACGCCUGCCCGGUGCUGGAAGGUCAAAAGGAGAGGUCAGCGCAAGCGAAGCUUUGAAUUCAAGCCCCAGUAAACGGCGGCCGUAACUAUAACGGUCCUAAGGUAGCGAAAUUCCUUGUC